rnacentral:rRNA from 1 species
AUACGGAGGGUGCGAGCGUUACUAGGAGUCACUGGGCGUAAAGCGUCCGUAGGUGGUCGGGUAAGUCGGGUGUGAAAGCCCCGGGCUCAACCUGGGAAGUGCACCCGAUACUGCUCGACUCGAGUGCGGGAGAGGAUGGCAGAAUUCCCGGUGUAGCGGUGAAAUGCGUAGAGAUCGGGAGGAACACCAGUGGCGAAGGCGGCCAUCUGGCCCGCAACUGACGCUGAGGGACGAAAGCGUGGGGAGCAAACAGGAUUAGAAACCCUUGUAGUCC